rnacentral:tRNA from 1 species
CGGGGUAGCCCAAGCAGGCAGAGGCACCGCCCCCAUCAAACUCACGUUAUCGCUCCAGCUUCAGUAUUCGCCGCCGAACGCCGAAUCGAGGGAACGGUUCUGGGGCGCGGAGGUUGCGGGUUCAACUCCCGCCGGCCCAGCCA